rnacentral:rRNA from 1 species
GAGCUUGCUCUUAUGAAGUUAGCGGCGGACGGGUGAGUAACACGUGGGUAACCUGCCCAUAAGACUGGGAUAACUCCGGGAAACCGGGGCUAAUACCGGAUAACAUUUUGAACCGCAUGGUUCGAAAUUGAAAGGCGGCUUCGGCUGUCACUUAUGGAUGGACCCGCGUCGCAUUAGCUAGUUGGUGAGGUAACGGCUCACCAAGGCAACGAUGCGUAGCCGACCUGAGAGGGUGAUCGGCCACACUGGGACUGAGACACGGCCCAAACUUCUGACGGGAGGCAGCAGUUGGGAAUCCUUCCGCAUUGGACGAAGGUCUGACGAACAACGCCGCCGUGAGUGAUGGAGGCUUUCGGGUCGAAAAUUUUUGGUUGGGAAGAACAAGUCCAAUUGAAAAAGCUGGCCCCUGGCGGUCCCUACCGAAGGCAGGCCAAAUACGUG